AAAGAGGGCUCUGUCGUGAGCAGCACAUGCAGGGCAGCUUGACCGUUCUACGUGCAGAAUCGACAUCAAGAGAUUUCGGAAGCAUACUUUUUGGUACUUGGACAGUUGGUGAUCGUUGGUCCUGGUGCCCAC